GUGCAGCCGCAGCCGCGCGCACCGCCGCCCCGGGGGUUCGGGUUGGCCCCGCCUCGGCUUACCCCUCAGGGGACGACUGCGUGUCCCGCGCCGGCUUCGGCGACCCGUCGGGGUAGUGGGGCCUCCCCGGAGAGCCUCUGCGCCUCCGCGGGCGCCUUCCCGAAGCUUCUGCCGUCGCCGCCCACCGCGCACGCGGCUCCGGGUCCGGCGCGGGCUUCCGGCUUCCGGCUUCCGGGCGCGUCCGCGCGGCCUUCCGGGGCCCAGGCGGCCUCGGGGCCCCUCGCGCGGAGGCCGCCGCCGCAAGGCCCGCCGGGAGACGCAGGGGGCCGGGCCGCCCUGGCGCGCGGUGGGGAGCGACGGCCCGUGUGGGGCCGCGUGUGGGGCCGCGAGUGGGGCCGUGGCCGCCCUGGGGAGGCCGCUUCCCGCUGCUGACGGCCGCGCCCGCCGGGUUCGCGCCGCACCUCCCCGCCAGGCGCCGGAGAGGGAAGCGCACGCACAGCCUGGGUCCCCGCAGCCGCCCUUGGUCCAGGCCCAGGUCAACGCCCUCCACCUGGGUGACGUGGACACACCAGAAACCAGAGCUGAGUGCUGUUUUUGGCUUAGGCCUCUGCCUUCUGUCAUGCUGGGCUUGCUGGUGGUACAUCUGCACAUGCUUUCUCUUCCUCAGGAGACUUCCUUCUGUGGCUCCCACUGACCAAGCCCUGAGCAGCAGUGACAGUUCUGUUCAAGCCCCAACUUCUUUACCAGCUCAGACUGGCUCUCUUCCUGUCUCAGUUCUUAUUACCAGAAAAAUGUGCUUUUGUGGCAGUUGACGUUCUUGUAUCAUUUUUGCCUGCUUAAGAAGAGAAAAACAUGUGCUGCAAACUCGGGGACAACGUCACGGGCAUUAUCUUCAUCUGUGUAUCUUGGCAACAGACUUUAUACACUCCCAGAAGGUAAAAUGAAGACUCGUUGAUUGGUGCAUUUUUAUAAAUUUUGCUCAUUUAUGUUUAUUUAAAAAAUUGACUCCUAUAGCUUUUCCACUUUCCAGUGCCGUGUGAUUUAGGCAUAAGUUCUGUGACCUCUCAGGAUCUAAUUUAACAGGAAGAUUGCAAUAGAAUGAAAAGCUGAGAUAUUUUGUAUUAAGAAAUGUCUUUUAAUGGAUACAAUGUGAAUCUUAUAUUCAUCCAAUUUUCUCUUGCUGAAUGUGCUGUUAGUACAUAUUUCUGUUUUGGGAUGACCCCUAUUCCUUGUAAUUUUACUACAUAAACAGUUGAUAGAAUCCUGUUUAUAAACCACCAUUCUUCAGGAAGAAUUGGUGCAUUUUAAGUGAAGAGCUCUUAUAGAGAUCAUCUUCACAAGGAAAUUACUUCCCUCUUUUUAGUAGGAAAUGUUAGAGACGUUAUUUUGCCAUGAUUCUCCAGGCUCCAUCUACAUCAAGCAUUUGAGUUGUUCAUGUCUCAAUAUAAAGGAGGACUGUAACUUUUCAAGAUACCCAAAUCUGCUGAGCUGAAAAGUCUUGUUACUCAUGACUCAAUACUGAUGAAGAAAUGAAAAGCACUCAGAUUUGUUUUGUGGUUGACAAAGCAGCUCCAUUUUUUGUUAGUUUCCUGGGCGUCCCUUUUGCAAAGUGUCAUCUAUUCAUGUACUAAGAGCUUCUCACGAGUCAUGGGCUGUCAUAGAAUCUGGGCUACACAGUUCACAUUCGAAAGGUCCCUGUCCCCACAGGACAUGCAUUUAUUUAGUGGGACAGAUGGACAUUUAAUGACAACGAUAAAAAUAUCAUGCUCCAUGCUCUCUAUGGCACAAUUCUGAAAUAAAAAACCCCAGAAGACCAAAACUUCUGCAUAAUUCCUCUGGCUUCUCCUGGCCUAAGUCAACAAAAGGCCAUCUAUAAUCUUUAUUCCUCACAAUUACAGUGAAUAGUCAUAUCUUAGUUACAGAAAUAUUAAUGCGCUUGAUCUGGGGUUGCUGCCCCUGGUCCUGUGGGGCACACAAUAAAAGUAGAAUAUAUGCACUGUAUUGCUUUUCUAAGGUAGAAAAUGCCUGAAUUCUCAAAGAUAUUUGGCUGUAAGGGUUUCAAGUAAGUGUCUGCCCUGUGUAAUGUGGGCAGUGAUAAAUCUUAUGAAUAAAAAUAAAGGAGGGAAAGUGACAGGAAGUGCCUGGAAGGGCUCUUUCCUUUCCUGAAUUUAGUGCAUUGGAUCCUUGCUGCAUUUACAGCUCUCCAGUGUCGUUAAAAUAAGAUUUAUUUUUGUUGUGCAUUUGUGUUCUGCAGGGCAACUUUGGGAUACUGCACCCUGCUGCAUCUUACCCCAAAGCAGGAUCCCAAUACACGCUUCUUUCAAAGUUCAGAUGUAGAGAGGUUAAAUAUCCUCGAAUCUAACCACUGGGCCCUCGCAGCUGUCUAUCUAAGCACAUAGCUGCCUUUUUCAGAACAGUACUCCCAGGACAGGCUUUAUGACUUCAUUUUCCUCGUGAGCAUCUCCUACCACCACAUCACUCUCAAAGCCUGUGGUGGCCUCUUGGCAUGAUCAGAGAAGUGGACGCACAUUUUCUGGGCAAUACUGCUAACUCAGGUUUUUUCCCUCUACUCAUGAUUGAAGAAUGUCACCUUGAAUUUUUUCAUUAUCACUUUAUAUUCAUUAAGUAUUUUUCUUAAGUUCAUGUUGAAGAUGCGUUUAUUCUAAAAUAAUAUUCUCUGUUAACACUUGAGUUGAAAUAUGUAUGGGAUAUCAGCUAUCUGACCUUGGCAAUUUAAAGUCCCCCCAAUUUUUUAAUCAUCUUUAAUUGAGAAUGAUAAAUAAACUCACCUGUCAAUAAUACUCUGAUGUUAACUACUGUUAUUCUUAUUUUUUCA
rnacentral:lncRNA from 1 species